GACGAACGCUGGCGGCGUGCUUAACACAUGCAAGUCGAACGAAGUGGCGAACGGGUGAGUAACGCGUAAUCAACCUGCCCUUCAGCGGGGGACAACAGUUGGAAACGACUGCUAAUACCGCAUACUGAGGGAGGGGACUGCGUCUGAUUAGCUAGUUGGAGGGGUAACGGCCCACCAAGGCGAAGAUCAGGAGGCGGUCCUAACAGCGAGACGGGCACAUUGGGAAUGGGACAAGGCCCAGAAUCCUAGAGGGGGCAGCAGUGGGGAAACAUGCGACAUGGAAGAAAGUCUGACGGAGCAACGCCGCGUGGGUGAUGACAGCUUUCGGGUUGUAAAGCUCUGUUAAUCGGGACGCGGUACCGAAAUAGAAAGCCACGGCUAACUACGUGCCAGCAGCCGCGGUAAUAC
rnacentral:rRNA from 1 species